GAGGACACACAGGGCUGAGCUGCCCAGGGCACCAAGCGGAGUGCAGGAAGGAUGCAGGAUAGGGAGCCCAGGAGGGGACUGCAGGGACAGGGCCACGGGGAAGCAGCCUCAGAAAGGGGGGUCCACGCCAACCUGCGCAGCCUGCAAAAGGAAAGCCUGUGUCACCUAGCCUGGGGCCCUACCCUGGGCCCCAAGCCUCCUUCUGCAGGUCCCCAGAUCCCUUCUGCUCCCAGCACCAACAGACCAGGCUGUUUUUAUUUCGGACACAGCUUUCUGUCAACAGGAAAGGGCCAACAGCAAGUCUGCGACAUCUCAAAGCCGUGAGGACAAAGGAGUCCCAGGCUACACAGGAAUCCCCCAAGGCCUGGACCUCCCUGUGCAGAUCCCCAGAUGGCUGUGCGUUCAACCUGGGGGACCCUGGCUGGCAGCCUUCACCCUUCUGUGUGUUAGAGGAGCGACUGCGGGGUGCAUCCAAGGAAGACAGUUUAAAGCGCACUGCUGUGGAGGCAGGCUCACACAGACACAGCACCGGAGGGGAGAGCCGAGCAACAUCGCCACGAGCUGCCACUGCAGGAGACAAGCAGGCCACACUCUGCGCCCCCGGCACGAUCUCUGUCCUAUUAUUACCCGGGCAGAUAAGGGGACAUGCGGCCCACGAUAAAGGUCAGUCCUCAGGGCGCUGGGUGGGAAUGGCCGGCUUUCUUGUUCCUGCAGCAAGAGCUGCAGAGAGCACAGCAGUGUGCAGAGAGGGGACACAGGGCCGUCCCCCUCACCCAGCGCCCUCAACACCAGCCCCCAACCCAGAGGAGCCCAGGACCCAAAGGACUGCUGUACCCAGGGGACACUCCCCACAGGCUGGU